GUCUGAAAGACUCACUUUCAAACACCAACCCGCUCAUUAGAGUCCUCUUGGUAUAAAAGGAAAUUAAAUGCUGAAGACAAAAAACUAAGAUUGCUACACGGAUAAAAAAACGGAGAAAGAGAGACUGAGAGACAGAGAGAAAAGAGAGACGGAGAAAUAGAGAAGCAGAGAACGGUGGAGAGAGAGAUCGAGAGAUCAAAAACUGCACUCUCUAAAACUGAAACCCAAAACACACAAUCAUCCAUUCUUUCCAUUUGUUAACACAAACGGCCAAAAGAAAAGAUUUUCCCUACCGAUGAAGAAGAAAAAACAGAAGCCCAUUGAAAGAUUUCUUCACGGAGAAAGGAGAAAGAGCGAUCGAGAGAAAAGAGAGACAGAGAAAUAGAGAGGCAGAGAAAUAGAGAGGCAGAGAAAUAGAGAAGGGUGCCACCAAAUCUUCUGCCAUCAUUGUAAGGGCGCCUGCCUUGCGAUACAGAGAUGAGAAGGAGACAGAUAUUGAGAGAAUUACCACCGUUGCAGAAUACCGUUUCCCUGUGCCGAAUAAAGACAUUGGGACUUCUGCAAUAAAAGAAUUAAAAGGCACAGUUAGAUUUUAAUUUCUUUGGUUCUUGCUAGAAUUAAGAUCCUUAAUGAAUGCAAAGAUUGAAGUGUUCUCUUUACAUUUGAACUCACAUGACUCAAUUUGGAUUGUGACUUAUCAUGUUUAAAUAAGAAAAAAUAGAUUUUGAAUUGUAACGUAAUUAAUAUUUGCAUUCAUUGUUACUAUUUGUCUUUUAUUAUAUGUUUGUUUGAUGUCUUUGAGUUACAUUAGGUUUUGAUUUGAUUUUUUGAUUCGUUUUAGUUUCUCAAUAUACUAAAAACUUUUGUGAGUAUUUGGAUUCAAUUAAUUUUGUGUUUGAUUUUGGUUUAGUUUUAGGGUAUUUAUAAUUGGUUUUGGAUAAUCAAGGUUUAGAAAUCUUGAAAGCAUUGGUGUCUGAUGUUUGCUUCAUCUUUAUUGCGGUAAUUGUGCACUUCUAGAGGACUUUUUUUUUUUUUUUUUUCAAUAACCAACUUUUAGAGGACUUUAUAACAGUUAUUUUUUCACAUAAAUUUGAGAAGCGUUAGAUGAAUUUCUCAAAAUUGGCUGUUUAAAUGAAAGAUGGCAGUGUAUUGCGGCACAAUUUUAAGCCAAAAGAAGAGUUAAACAAACCUGUUUUAAUAUAUGGGUUCAUGCUCUGCACCCAUCUCCUCUUUGCAACAUAUAUGGAAGGUUUGCAUCAUCUCACUGUUUCUUCUCCUAUUCGAAUUAGCAUCUUCAAUAUAUCUAUAUUUUAACUUAAAAUAUGAUGCUUAUUCUUCAAUUGUUUUUCUUCUUGAAAUACUCUCUAUGCAGUUUAUUAAGUACUCUUUAUGCAGUUUAGAGUUUAUAAAUACAAAAACCCACAGAAAAAGUAAUGAGAGAGAGAGAGAGAGAUGGUAGUAAGGCACAAAGGGAAUGGCAUAGAUAUAAAUCUUAGACCACCACCACAGUUGGUCUCCAACCAUUGAAAUUGAGCGUUAAGUAUGAUUUAUGCUUGGGUAUUUGGUUGGAUUAGGCAUUUGGGUUAGAUUUGGUUUUGAUUCAGGUAUUUGGGUUCUCCAUGCUUGGCAUCAACUUCAUCAGGUCACUAAAUCUCUCUCUUUUUCUUUGUUUCUCUAAAACUGAAUUGUUGUGCUCUCUCUUUCUCUUUCUCAUUCUCCUUUUAAAAAAGAAAAAAAAAACAGAUUAUUAGCUUCUUUGAGAAUCUCAGGGACUCUGCAUGGGAUGCUUUUUUAGCGCAUGAGGUUUUGUUGAAUUCCCUUUUUUGUUUCCAUAGAAAGUAGCAUCUUAGAGAUUUUUGCUGCAAAUUUCAAAAUUAAAUGAAUUUGAAUUUUGGGUUUCUAUGUGGUCUUUUAAAGUUUGGAAUGAUUCUAGGAAUAUAGGACUGGCCUAGAAGAUCAGCGUUAAGUCAAACGGUCGACCUGUCAAGUCAAUUGUGCAUCAAGUGUUUCUCAAGAUGGAAGGUUGGCAUGCUUAUCCAUUGAAGGUUAUCAAGGCUUUACUAUGGCGUUUGAUUACUACAAAGGCAAUGCUUCAAUAAUUGAUGAUGUAUUUACAACACUUGGAUUAAAAAUUCAUGGUGACAAAAAUGUCCCUUAUGUGGGACAUUUUUAGGGUAUUAGUUCUUGGCAGGAAUUCCAUGAAUUCUAGAGAAAUACAUAAUGAGAGUUCCAAGUAGAAGACUUGGUCUUGGUGCCAAAGAAUAUAUUUCUCAGUGUGUUUGGCCAAAGAAAAUGUAUAUUAGAAGCUUCAAGGAUGAUGAGAACUCAUUAUAAAUGAAUUAUUACACUUUUGUUAAUAAGUUGAACAAUGGUGAGACAUCACCCUUUCAUUCUCUUUAUAAAGAUGUUUGUGGUUAAGCAAAAAUAUCUUCCUUCUAAACUCUAUUCCAUAGUGAUACAAUGAUUGGAAAAUUAUGCGCUGGGCAUAAUUUGGUGGUUUGCAUACAAGACUUUACUACUCUUAGGAGCACUAUUGGGUAUAUUUGUUAAAACAUCAAUACCAUGUAGCUCCUUGACAAUUAGUAUCUUUGUUGUAGCUAGCUGAAAAUAUUCAAUAAUUACUUUGAGGAAUGUACUUCAUAAUGAUUUGGAAAUUUAAGGGUGAUUUUUUUGCCUCAUGUUGAUGAAAUAUUUAGUUUUGGUAUCUAUUUCUCAAACCAUUUAUUGCUAUGUAGGAGUUAGGUUUCUUCUAGAAAAAAAAAAGGAUUUAGUUUAAUACUCACAAACCAAUCCAAUUACAUGCUCGCUCUCUUUCAAAGGAUGUGAAAUUAAUAAUUGUGCAUAUAACUUAACAAAAAUAAUUAAAUAAUCGUGAAUUCACCUACGCAACACAUACAUAUCAUUAAGUAAAUAUAAGAUAAGUGAACCUAAUUAAGUAAAUGUUUUACCACAUGUCAUAAAAAUUAGAUAAACUCAUAAUAUUCAAACUUAGUUACUUAUUCUAAUUAUGAAUUAUUGUUUGUCGAAGUUACUUAUAUAAGCUUCUACCAAAAAAAAAAAAAAAAGACCUAUUAUUUUUCUUGAAUAAUAAAUUCUUGGAGUAAAAAAACACUUUCUUUUUACUUGAGUGUAGUGGUAAAGGAAUAUUACAUUUUUUUUCUAAGAGAUCUAUUUAAAAUUUUGUUGAAACGGGCACAAAUUUCAAGAUUAGAAUUUUGAAAUCUCUAUAAAAAAAACUCCUUGAAUUUAGUUUUUUAUUUUUCUUGCAAGUAAUUAUUUCUUUUUUUUGUAUUAUCUUAAUAUAAAAUGUUUAAAUUUUCAGUAACCAUAUGUCUUUUGUAAUAAAUAAAAGUAUCCCGCACAUUGUGCGGGUUAUACUCUAGUUAUAUAUAAUAGCAGAAGCCUUUAUGAAGGUGCUGCCACGUUAGGAAAAAAGGGCUUCUUAAAAUGGUGACACGUAUACAAUUUUUCCUUUAAAAUACCGCACAGUGCACCGGUUUGAGAGAAUCUUAUAAAAACACAAACCCGCUUUAAAAACGAAAACCAAAAGGGAAAAACACAAACACCAUAUUUCCCGAUUGAAAUUUCAGACUCACUCUGACUUCCCGAUGAAACAGAGAGAGGCGAUGAGGACACGGAGAAAGAAGCAGAGAAGGAGAGGCGAUGAAAUCAAAAAGUUUCAAAAACCGAUUUUGCAGACCCAAAACCUAGGCAGAACGGUAAACAGAGAAGGCAUGGAGUGGGGACUGGGGAGAGAGAAAAAUCUGCCACAAUCAAAAGGGAAAGAGCGCAGAGUUCGUCUGAACCAUACACCGUCCGUUCCGUUGCCAGAUCUCGACCACCAGAUUGCCGGGAUUGACAUCGACAACGAGAAUGAUUGAGAGGGAUACAGAGACAAUGUUCGUGAAUGUUGCUGCCUCCAGCGUCAAAUUUGGCUUCCUACACCGUUAGUAGCCUCGCCAUAGAAGAAAAAUCUAUGGACCAUCAAUACUGUAAGACCAUAUAGCGAUAGAGUGAGAACUACCACCGCUGUGCCAAGAGGGAGAGUUGCGAAACCAAGAGAUAGUUAUGUUGAAGACAAUGGAAGAACAAGUGUAUUUCCAAAGUUUCAGAAUGAACAGGAGGUAGAUGUGAAAAACACACCGGCACAGUUUCGCUGCCCAAGAAUCAUGAUUUAGUCAUGAGCUGCAUUGAUAUGGAAUUCUUUCCAGCAUGACUUCCUCCAUUUUAUCCUUUCGAGAAGGUCUGUGUGGAACCGAACCUUUCAAAGUAACUACAAGUAUACAUCCUUCAAAGAGUCCGAAUGCAAGUGCUGCAAAAGUUCAUUGUUGCAUUGCUUCAGCAGUAUACAAUUAGCUUUUCUCCUGAAAAUUCUAUUGGUGAAGGUACGCUUGGUUGUGUUUAUAGGGGUAAGCUACCCGAUUGAGAGGUAAGAUUCUUUUAACUCAAUAAGAACUAAUUUGCCAGGAUGAUGGCGUGGCUGUUUGAUUGUGUGGCUUCUACUUCAGAAUGCCUCAUGAAUAAUAUAUAAAAGUAGUCCGCGCAUUGCGUGGGUCUUACGCUAGUUAUUUAUAAAAGAAGAGGAAGAUCAAUCUCCUAAACAAAAAUAAGAAAAACCAUCUGGGAGGUCAAGGAUUUAGUUGAGGAACAAAAUGAGCACGAGCUCUAUGCAACCAAUCAGAAAGAAAAGUAAGGAAGCCCUAAAUCCCUGCCACUAGGGGGGAGGGGCGGGGGGAAUCCACACUUACAAGAGACCUUGGAGGACAAAGAAAGGAUGUUCAGUGAGCACUAGGGGAUGCAAGCACGGAUUUUGAACUUUUUCCCUUUUUACACACUAAUUUGCCAAUGACCAACUUCUCAAAAUUUGUCCUUCAAAUAUUGCUCUAUUUGUCUUAGUCUAUAAUUAUUGGAGAAGCAAAUUAAGUUGAUGCUGGUGAAAAUCAUUAAGCAAUGAUGCCCCUCAGAUGGUUGUGUCAUACAUUCUGGUGCAAGAUAGCUAACUGAGAAAGCUCCAUAUGCAGAAUGGCAACAAAGCUUCCUUUCUCUCCUCCCUGAAGCUUUGUCCUUGGUUACAGAGCUCUAUACUCAAUUCAUCGACACAAAAAUGCUUCCAGAUGAAGCUUCAAUCAACAUCCUGAAUGUGACUUCCCAUUUCUUUUAGUUGUUUGAAUGUGAAUGACUAAUUAUCAAGUUUGUUAUAAUAAGGACAUGAUUUUUAAAGUCUUUAUUUUUAAAGUACUAAAUUGCUUGUGCUAAGAGGAAAAUUUUAUUUGUAGAAGCAGAUAAUAAAUAUAUACUAAUCAUUUAAGUUGUU